rnacentral:rRNA from 1 species
UACGUAGGGCGCAAGCGUUAUCCGGAAUUAUUGGGCGUAAAGAGCUCGUAGGCGGCUUGUCACGUCGGGUGUGAAAGCCCGGGGCUUAACCCCGGGUCUGCAUUCGAUACGGGCUAGCUAGAGUGUGGUAGGGGAGAUCGGAAUUCCUGGUGUAGCGGUGAAAAUGCGCAGAUAUCAGGAGGAACACCGGUGGCGAAGGCGGAUCUCUGGGCCAUUACUGACGCUGAGGUGCGAAAGCGUGGGGGAGCAAACAGG